rnacentral:rRNA from 1 species
AUGAACGCUGGCGGCGUGCCUAACACAUGCAAGUCGAACGGAGCUGCUUUGAUGAGAUCUUCGGAUGGAUUUAAAACAGCUUAGUGGCGGACGGGUGAGUAACGCGUGGGUAACCUGCCUCACACUGGGGGAUAACAGUUAGAAAUAGCUGCUAAUACCGCAUAAGCGCACAGUUCCGCAUGGAACAGUGUGAAAAACUCCGGUGGUGUGAGAUGGACCCGCGUCUGAUUAGGUAGUUGGUGAGGUAACGGCCCACCAAGCCGACGAUCAGUAGCCGACCUGAGAGGGUGACCGGCCACAUUGGGACUGAGACACGGCCCAGACUCCUACGGGAGGCAGCAGUGGGGAAUAUUGCACAAUGGAGGAAACUCUGAUGCAGCGACGCCGCGUGAGUGAAGAAGUAUUUCGGUAUGUAAAGCUCUAUCAGCAGGGAAGACAGUGACGGUACCUGACUAAGAAGCUCCGGCUAAAUACGUG